rnacentral:misc_RNA from 1 species
GAUGAAGAACGUAGCGAAAUGCGAUACGUAGUGUGAAUUGCAGAAUUCAGUGAAUCAUCGAAUCUUUGAACGCACAUUGCGCCCUUUGGUAUUCCAAAGGGCAUACCUGUUCGAGCGUCAUUUGUACCCUCAAGCUUUGCUUGGUGUUGGGCGUCUUGUCUCCAGUCCGCUGGAGACUCGCCUUAAAGUCAUUGGCAGCCGGCCUACUGGUUUCGGAGCGCAGCACAAGUCGCACUCUUUUCCAGCCAAGGUCAGUGUCCAACAAGCCUUUUUUCAACUUUUGACCUCGGAUCAGGUAGGGAUACCCGCUGAACUUAAGCAUAUCAAUAAGCGGAGGA